AACAAAAAAAACAGAAAAAAGAAAAGAAGAAAAAACCACACACCGGGGAGGCUUAGAGGGCAAGCUUCCACAACAUACGUGGAC
rnacentral:ribozyme from 1 species